UUUAAGCCAGAAUCGCAAUUUUGCUUAUUCGGCACGACAUUAUAUAUAUAUAUAUAUAUAUAUAUAUAUAUAUAUAUAUAUAUAUUAUAUAUAUAUAUAUAUAUAUAUAUAUAUAUAUAUAUAUAUAUUUAGCCUUGAAUAUAUUAUAGACAAGGUUGUGUGUGCCGCCUUCUUUCCUCAACUCACAAACACAGUCAUCUGGAACAUUAAGACAGGUGUUGGCCCGGUGUCCUGGUGUUGGCCCGGUGUCCUGGUGUUGGCCCGGUGUCCUAAUGUUGGCCCGGUGUCCUGGUGUUGGCCCGGUGUCCUGGUGUUUAGUGACAGGACAUGCAAGUGUGAAUAUCAAGUGAUUACUGACAUAUUUAGUAUGUAAAAAGCUGACCUAGUUCUUAAUUGUUGGAGAUGAAGGUGGUGGUGGGUACUGGUGCAGGUGGGUACCCAGUGUGCCCCGGGCACCGCUCCUGGCAGGUGGGUACCCAGUGUGCCCCGGGCACCGCUCCUGGCAGGUGGGUACCCAGUGUGCCCCGGGCACCGCUCCUGGGUAUUGCGGUCAAACAUAUGGCCUUCCCUAAUAUUCUGACACUAAUAUAACUUGCAGUUACAAUUAAAAAAUUACUUUAUAUGUUUAUUUAUGACAAGUAAAUAUGUAAUUUUA